rnacentral:RNase_P_RNA from 1 species
CCAGCCGGCCGGGCGGCCGCGUCACCUUCGGGUGCCGAGGAAAGUCCGGGCUCCACGGAGACACGGUGCCGGAUAACGUCCGGCGGGGGCGACCCUAGGGAAAGUGCCACAGAAAUCAAACCACCCGCGCAUGCGCGGGCCAGGGUGAAACGGUGGGGUAAGAGCCCACCGCGCGACCGGCAACGGAAGCGGCACGGUAAACCCCACCGGGAGCAAAGUCGAAUAGGGACGGCAUCCUUUUAGGAAAGCCCUGUCUUCGGGCCGCCGUCCGGGUUGACUGCUAGAGGCGCCGAGCAAUCGGCGUCCCAGAUGAAUGGUCGCCACGCGGGCGCAAGCCCGCCGUACAGAACCCGGCUUACAGGCCGGCUGGUAUU